GAAUCGAGAUCAGAGUGUCAAUCAUCCAGAGCCGGGCCGAACGACUCUGCUUGUGAGUGUGCAAUCCAUAAGCUGGUUUUUGAAUUGGUGAGAAUUGACAAAUGCUGGAUAUGCCAUUCACCUUUGACAUCUAUCAGAUGGCACGGUGUAAGAUGCAAACAAUGCUGUGGUGUGUGGCAUAAAAUCUGCCUCCAGAAAUCCUCAGAAGACUGGGAUAUAUCAGAUGACGAUGUCUCAUCUGGCGACGAGUACAUCCCAGCAUCUGUAUCGGAUUCAGAAAGCUCAGGGACAGAGUUGAGUGUU